GGACCAUCCAAGUCAUCAUCAGUUGUCAGCAACCUACAGACAAAAAGUUCCCUGAGCCUACAGGCCUGCACACUUUGCUUUCAUCUUACUCUGGGGGAUAGCUACUCCCAAUAAUUAGCCAACAGAACUGCAGAUCACAGCCUAACAAAGCAGUUAAGGCGGUUCAAAGGCCAACUGGCACGCUAAGAGAAGUCCCGCCAUGCACUCCCACCUCUCUCCUACCACCAUCUGACCCCUCAGCAAGCAGAUUCACUGCUGAAGUCCACCUUCAAAUUCAUGCAGUUCAGAGUCCCAGCUGGACACAAGGGCCCUAGUUCUGCAGUCUCAUCCAAGGCGCUGAUUCUGAAGUGCUGAGUGGAAGGCCCACACUCCAGAAGCUCAUUAAAAGGGCCAAGUUACAGUACAGGUUUAUUUCUGUCACAGCGUUUCAAAAAACAGUGACAAGGAUUAAUAUGUUUCUUUGGUACUGGAAAAAGCCUGAUAUGAUCCCUUGUGAAUUUGAUCAUCUGUUUUGUUGCCUGUAUACGAUUCAAUCUCCUAUUAUAUCCUGAAGUUACAGCUGUAAACCAGGGCUGAUAAGAAUUCAGAAAACACUGCCAGAGCCUGCAGAGAACUAAUUGUUUUAUUAAGCAGCAUCUUGUUUAUUUGCAAUUUAUUUCAUACAUCAUUCAGAGAACAAACUCUUCUUUAAGAUAAUAAAGCA
rnacentral:lncRNA from 1 species